rnacentral:tmRNA from 1 species
GGGGCUGACCGGUUUUGACAGCAAGGAUAAUGGGUAUGUAAGCAUGCAGGUUCAGGCAUCAACAACCUCAAUCAGGGAUGCGAAACAAUAAUUGGCGAAAAUACUUACGCUCUUGCAGCUUAACUGAAGUACAGUAGGUUAGCUUAAUCCUGCCCACAGUGGGCGGGACAAGACAUCUCCCGCCGACCACUCCCAUCGGUAGGCGACCAGGAGGUGCUCGUGAGAAUGGGAUAGCAGUGCGUUCUCUCCGCCCGCGCUGUGAAAUUUUAGGAGAUAAGGUCGGAUUUGGGUGUCUUUGUCCGGGUCCGGCUCGAAAACCAAUCAAAGAAUAAGCAUGUAGAAAGCGUAUUUGUUACUUGUUUGGACGGCGGUUCGACUCCGCCCAGCUCCACA